ACGGAAGGCAGCAGUGGGGAAUAUUGCACAAUGGGGGAAACCCUGAUGCAGCAACGCCGCGUGAGUGAAGAAGUAUUUCGGUAUGUAAAGCUCUAUCAGCAGGGAAGAUAAUGACGGUACCUGACUAAGAAGCACCGGCUAAAUACGUGCCAGCAGCCGCGGUAGUACGUAUGGUGCAAGCGUUAUCCGGAUUUACUGGGUGUAAGGGGUGCGUAGGUGGCAUGGUAAGUCAGAUGUGAAAUACCGGGGCUCAACCCCGGGGCUGCAUUUGAAACUGCCAGGCUGGAGUACAGGAGAGGCAAGCGGAAUUCCUAGUGUAGCGGUGAAAUGCGUAGAUAUUAGGAGGAACACCAGUGGCGAAGGCGGCUUGCUGGACUGUUACUGACACUGAGGCACGAAAGCGUGGGGAGCAAACAGGAUUAGAUACCCUGGUA
rnacentral:rRNA from 1 species